GACGAACGCUGGCGGCGUGCUUAACACAUGCAAGUCGAACGGAAAGGCCCUGCUUUUGUGGGGUGCUCGAGUGGCGAACGGGUGAGUAACACGUGAGUAACCUGCCCUUGACUUUGGGAUAACUUCAGGAAACUGGGGCUAAUACCGGAUAGGAGCUCCUGCUGCAUGGUGGGGGUUGGAAAGUUUCGGCGGUUGGGGAUGGACUCGCGGCUUAUCAGCUUGUUGGUGGGGUAGUGGCUUACCAAGGCUUUGACGGGGAGGCGGCCUGAGCGGGUGACCGGCCACAUUGGGACUGGGAUACGGCCCAGACUCCUACGGGAGGCAGCAGUGGGGAAUAUUGCACAAUGGGCGGAGGCCUGAUGCAGCAGCGCCGCGUGCGGGAUGACGGCCUUCGGGUUGUAAACCGCUUUCGCCUGUGACGAAGCGUGAGUGACGGUAAUGGGUAAAGAAGCACCGGCUAACUACGUG
rnacentral:rRNA from 1 species